GUUUGAAGUAUGUUUCAUGGCACAGAGGUGAUCAGAAGUCUCCGUUUUAAUCCCAGGUUUUAAAGCAUCUGCUUUGUUCCCUAAGCAAUGCAAAGUGUUACUGAGAUUUUCUGGCGCUUCAGUUUUCAGUUUUAUUGGUGUUGAAUAUUUCUUAUCCACUAAUUGCUGCUUUUCACUCAGGGUCCUCCUUGUGUCAGGUUUCUUUUUCUUUGUAGCUCUCAGAGGCUCGGCUAACAUCCGUACUUCUCUGGGAAACGCUGUGAGCACCUGUAUGGCUCCGGCUUUUAUCUUAGCUUCCAAUCCCUCUUCAGUGCCAAAUUCAUCUGUUUGUGAAAUUUUGUAGAGAGGUAACACAUGGAGCUGCUCAUCACUUGGAAUCACCCCGACUCUCCGGUUGUCCUCCUUUGUUA
rnacentral:lncRNA from 1 species